rnacentral:rRNA from 1 species
UACGGAGGAUGCAAGCGUUAUUCGGAAUCACUGGGCUUAAAGCGCGUGUAGGCGGGCCGGCACGUCCGGUGCUGAAAUCCCCCGGCUCAACCGGGGAAGGGGCACGGAUACGACCGGCCUGGAGGGGGGUAGGGGGCGCCGGAACUUCCGGUGGAGCGGUGAAAUGCGUUGAGAUCGGAAGGAACGCCCGUGGCGAAAGCGGGCGCCUGGACCCCGCCUGACGCUGAGACGCGAAAGCCAGGGGAGCGAACGGG